ACCUCACACAAAUGAGAGAAAAAUGGGAGCAAAUAAAAGGUCGAUGCAAUACAGAAGGAUUAAUAGAAUUUCCUGUGCUAUUUCCCUUGGACAGCUCUGAGGGCUCAACCCCGUGUCUCAACAUAUCACCACGACUUUCACUGAUGUCUGUGCCUAACAAGCUGCUUCUCCCGAUGAAAUCACUGCUGACACUCUCCUUCCACCUGCCUCAGGAGCAUGGUUUUCAGCCACUUCUCAGGUCCGAGUCCUCAGUGCAGCUUUAGGCAACGGUUGUCCCAGUGAAACAGCAUCUGCAUUCAGCUCAGAUGAGGCAUGUGGCUGGGGCUAUGGCAUCACCACCACAGG
ensembl:lncRNA